rnacentral:rRNA from 1 species
UCCAGACUCCUACGGGAGGCAGCAGUGGGGAAUAUUGCACAAUGGGGGGAACCCUGAUGCAGCGACGCCGCGUGGGUGAAGAAGUAUUUCGGUAUGUAAAGCCCUAUCAGCAGGGAAGAAAAAAAUGACAGUACCUGAAUAAGAAGCCCCGGCUAACUACGUGCCAGCAGCCGCGGUAAUACGUAGGGGGCAAGCGUUAUCCGGAAUUACUGGGUGUAAAGGGAGCGUAGACGGCAAUGCAAGCCUGGAGGGAAAUCCCAUGGCUUAACCAGUGAACUGCUUUGGAAACUGUGCAGCUGGAGUGCAGGAGAGGUAAGCGGAAUUCCUAGUGUAGCGGUGAAAUGCGUAGAUAUUAGGAGGAACACCAGUGGCGAAGGCGGCUUACUGGACUGUAACUGACGUUGAGGCUCGAAAGCGUGGGGAGCAAACAGGAUUAGAUACCCCAGUA